rnacentral:rRNA from 1 species
CGCUAUGGCCAUACCACCCCGAACGUGCCUGAUCUCCAGUGUCGGAAGCUAAGCAGGCUUGGGCCUGGUUAGUACUUGGAUGGGAGACCACUUGGGACUAACGGGUGCCUGUAGUCC